rnacentral:rRNA from 1 species
UAGGGAAUCUUGCCACAAUGGACGCAAGUCUGAUGGAGCAACGCCGCGUGAGUGAAGAAGGUUUUCGGACCGUAAAGCUCUGUUGUUGGUGAAGAAGGAUAGAGGUAGUAACUGGCCUUUAUUUGACGGUAAUCAACCAGAAAGUCACGGCUAACUACGUGCCAGCAGCCGCGGUAAUACGUAGGUGGCAAGCGUUGUCCGGAUUUAUUGGGCGUAAAGCGAGCGCAGGCGGAAGAAUAAGUCUGAUGUGAAAGCCCUCGGCUUAACCGAGGAAUUGCAUCGGAAACUGUUUUCUUGAGUGCAGAAGAGGAGAGUAGAACUCCAUGUGUAGCGGUGGAAUGCGUAGAUAUAUGGAAGAAUACCAGUGGCGAAGGCGGCUCUCUGGUCUGCAACUGACGCUGAGGCUCGAAAGCAUGGGUAGCGAACAGGAUUAGAUACCCUGGUAGUCCAUGCCGUAAACGAUGAGUGCUAAGUGUUGGGAGGCUUCCGCCUCUCAGUGCUGCAGCUAACGCAUUAAGCACUCCGCCUGGGGGAGUACGACCGCAAGGUUGAAAC